UGAGGAAGGCUCGUCCGCUAAGGGUUAGUCGGGACCUAAGCCGAGGCCGAAAGGCGUAGGCGAUGGACAACAGGUUGAUAUUCCUGUACCACCUCCUCACCAUUUGAGCAAUGGGGGGACGCAGGAGGAUAGGGUAAGCGCGGUAUUGGAUAUCCGCGUCCAAGCAGUUAGGCUGGGAAAUAGGCAAAUCCGUUUCCCGUAAAGGCUGAGCUGUGAUGGCGAGCGAAAUUUAGUAGCGAAGUUCCUGAUUCCACACUGCCAAGAAAAGCCUCUAGCGAGGUGAGAGGUGCCCGUACCGCAAACCGACACAGGUAGGCGAGGAGAGAAUCCUAAGGUGAUCGAGAGAACUCUCGUUAAGGAACUCGGCAAAAUGACCCCGUAACUUCGGGAGAAGGGGUGCUUCUUAGGGUGUUAAAGCCCCGAGAAGCCGCAGUGAAUAGGCCCAGGCGACUGUUUAGCAAAAACACAGGUCUCUGCGAAGCCGUAAGGCGAAGUAUAGGGGCUGACGCCUGCCCGGUGCUGGAAGGUUAA
rnacentral:rRNA from 1 species